GGGGAAUGAAUGGAAGACAGCUUUUAGCACAAUAUCUGGUCACUACGAGUGUUCCAGGCAUUCGUCAACGAGGUGUUUCGGGACAUGCUCUGACGCCAGGUGGUCGUGUAUAGCGACAUCCUGGUUUACUCGGCAACCUUGGAGGGUCACAUUGAGUGGAUGAUAAAUGAAGACCCCGAUGAGAGACCUACAGUGGAGUAAACCCUGACUCAUCCCUCCUUCUGGAAACCACAGAGAGUUGGGAAUGAGAGGUCGGGAAGUGUCAUGAUGCUGACCCAGAGCUUCUCGACGUGCUGUGGAGAGAACCUUCUGUCAGUGGAGAUCCAAGCUGCCCUCUGCUUUGAUGAAAAAGAUGGCUGGCAGAAAGCCCUUCCCUGAGAACAUGUUGGGGUUACUACGCUUCAUACGCAACCUCCAUGAGCACUAUGCUGAGGAUUUAGCAUCUGACCUGAUGGUCCCUGAUCUCUUUGGAUGCGUCUACAUGUUGGCCAAGAAACAGGGGUGUGUCAAAAAAAGACAGUUAUGUUGCUCUUUGAUAGCCUUUAUUAUAUUGAGAGGUGCAUUAACAUUUUAGGGUGGUUAAUAGAAAACUGUUGAUGAUCAAACCUAGGUAGGAAACGGUUAUUAACAUUUUAUUUUGCAGUGUUUGGUAAUUUAGUAUGCAAAUAAUGAUGACUCUCCUACAUAGUUUGUCAAAUGCAGUGUACCUGCUGAGAGAUGGAGGGGAUGAGAGGUGAGAACAUCAAUCUCAUCUUCAUGUAUGACAUUACAUGCAAGAUCUAACCACAUGUGCAAAUAUACAUUCCUGAAUUGAAGCAUGGGACCAAAUCUGUCAGUUUUCCAUGCUUACGGACACGACUUGCCAUGUCGGAUGAAAUUCAACACAAGAUGUGUUGAAGGUGCUGGACUGGGAAAUGGGAAGCAGAUGGAGAUGCUGUGGUCGUAUCUGAGGCACUUUGGGAAGGUCACUAGAUGACGCCGUCCCAUCGUAUUGACCUCCUGACUGAUGCCCUUCACCAUGGGAAAAGAUGUGCCAGAGGCAACUGGACGAAAGUUGCAACAGAAGCAGAAUGGAAAAUGGCAGAAAUUGCAGUCUCUAACAGGGCCCAGCAGGAAAGUGGAGAUGGAAUAGCUGUUGCUCAGCUUAUGCAGAUCGAAAACUGAAGACGAUGGAGAGGAAGAACGGCAUCCUCCAUCGAUGGUCCCCCACCAGCAGUCUCUUCCAGACUGCACUCCACAGACUGCAGAGUAACAGAUUGAAGACCAAUUUGGAAGGAACAUUCAGUCUGGUGCUAGAACGGAGGUUACUCUGUGGCCUGAAGAGAUAAUAUGCAGGAAAUAUAUAUUCAACAAUAGGAACAAGUCAACUCAUAUCAGUUCUAUGAUAUUUCUGGAUGGUCAAGGUAUUGCCAACCGCCUGUCCAAAAAGCUUGCCACGGUCGGUAGUAGCAUACUCUUUAAAAAAAAAACGUUUUUUAAGGACUACAACCUGAGACCAGGUUUUUCCUCACAGCUCUCACAAGUCCUGGUGUAUGAGGAUGCAGUGCAGGUGGACAGCACUGUUUGGUCCUGGAGAGCAGGAAGAGCAGAGGAUGAUGGGGAGUUUCACUUCAAGCAAAGGCUCUCUGUGCUCCAUUCCCUCAGAACGGGCGUGUGAAGAUAACUGGUACAUUGAGGAUGAAGCCAUCACUGCCAAGAAGUUCUACUCACAUGAGCAGGAACUGAUCGUGGAGGCCUUACAACAUUACACAGAGCAAGAUGGAUUUAGUCUUGGGGCAAGAGCUGUCCUUGCUGGAAUGCUUGCUGAGCAUCAGCAUGCAGAAGGACAAAGUGAAUUGUUCAGAAGUGCUUUUUUGAGGGCAGCGGUAUAAACAUUGAAGUGGAGGACAUUGAGGAAGUGGAUGAGGAUGAUGACUAUGAUGGGGAUUACGACAACGAUGGUGAUAUUGAUGGAGGAAAAAAUGUAUGAGGCUGAGUGUGUCUAAUUGUUGUUUGUUUCUUGUCCAUUCUGUUUUAAUGUAUGUAAUUCAGUGGUGUACAGUAUUUAAGUAAAAAAAGGGGGGUAAAAUGAAAAAAUAUUAAACAUACAACAAAAAUUGUAUGUUUUGUUAUUUUUGGGUUAAAGGAAGCACUCUGGCCAUUUCUGUUUAAUUGUUAGAUGUGAUAUAUAGGCCAUUCUUUCAUGUCAUUUACCAUUUAUGUCAUGGUGAGGGGAACCUGACGUGAACCUGCUAUACCCCAACCUGAGUCUAAUGCAAUAGACAGGUUUGCUUCCUCCAAAGUAUUGUAUUUUCAUUGACUUGUUAGUUGUGGAGUUUGUAAACAUCAAUUUAGAUAAUUUUGUAAAUAUUGUAAUUUGAACAUCUAAAUCACUGUUGUCAUUUUUAAAAUAAAUAACUUCUGC
rnacentral:lncRNA from 1 species